GCUCAUGUACCCCAACUGGCAGAGGGACUGGUCUUAGGAACCAGUAGUUGUAGGUUCGACUCCUAUCAUGAGCA
rnacentral:tRNA from 1 species